rnacentral:rRNA from 1 species
GACGAACGCUGGCGGCGUGCUUAACACAUGCAAGUCGAACGGAAAGGCCCUGCUUUUGUGGGGUGCUCGAGUGGCGAACGGGUGAGUAACACGUGAGUAACCUGCCCUUGACUUUGGGAUAACUUCAGGAAACUGGGGCUAAUACCGGAUAGGAGCUCCUGCUGCAUGGUGGGGGUUGGAAAGUUUCGGCGGUUGGGGAUGGACUCGCGGCUUAUCAGCUUGUUGGUGGGGUAGUGGCUUACCAAGGCUUUGACGGGUAGCCGGCCUGAGAGGGUGACCGGCCCCAUUGGGACUGAGAUAGGGCCCAGACUCCAACGGGAGGCAGCGGGGGGAAUUAUGGCACAGUGGGGGGAGGCCUGAGGCAGCAGCGCCGCGUGCGGAAUGACGGCUUUGGGGUUGUAACCCGCUUCCGCCUGUGACGAGGCGGGAGUGACGGUAAUGGGUAAAGAAGCACCGGCUAACUACGUG